GACAAACGCUGGCGGCGUGCUUAACACAUGCAAGUCGAACGGAAAGGCCCUGCUUUUGUGGGGUGCUCGAGUGGCGAACGGGUGAGUAACACGUGAGUAACCUGCCCUUGACUUUGGGAUAACUUCAGGAAACUGGGGCUAAUACCGGAUAGGAGCUCCUGCUGCAUGGUGGGGGUUGGAAAGUUUCGGCGGUUGGGGAUGGACUCGCGGCUUAUCAGCUUGUUGGUGGGUAGUGGCUUACCAAGGCUUUGACGGGUAGCCGGCCUGAGAGGGUGACCGGCCACAUUGGGACUGAGAUACGGCCCAGACUCCUACGGGAGGCAGCAGUGGGGAAUAUUGCACAAUGGGCGGAAGCCUGAUGCAGCAACGCCGCGUGCGGGAUGACGGCCUUCGGGUUGUAAACCGCUUUCGCCUGUGACGAAGCGUGAGUGACGGUAAUGGGUAAAGAAGCACCGGCUAACUACGUG
rnacentral:rRNA from 1 species